AUAGUUAUUCCGUUAUUGUUCUGCAGAUCCCAAGGACGUAGACCACGUAUAAAUGCUGAAGGAAUCACAAAAUUAAACAGUCCGAGCUCGAUAUCAAAGGGAAUACGUUCAAUAAGCACCCCCAACAACAAAUAAGGAAAAAUGUUCGCUAAACUGGUGUUCCUGUUCGCCAUCCUGGCCUUUGCGAUGGCCAAGCCGCAGUACUUCUCCUCCGGCUACGGCUACGGCGGCUACGGCUAUCCCGGCUACUACGGCUAUUCCGGCUACACCCCGUACUCCUACGGAAGCUACGGAUCGUACGGCGGCUCUCCCUAUAACUACGGCUACGGGUACUAUUAACUCGUACUACCAGUUUUCCGAUCUCCACCGAUGAUGUACAUAUUCUUUAGUUUUUUGUUUCGUGAUAUUUGUAAUAAGUGCACGCGCUUGGUAGAUAGCAUCUAUCAUUAUCAAUUCGAGGAAUUAUCGAAUUCUUUGAAUUGGUAAAGGAACACAAUUGUUAAUACGUAUUUGACAUUAUUGUAUUUAACAACCGGGUGCACAAAUUCACUUUAUUUUUAUUUUAUUUUUUUAUUAAAUUAAUUUUUAGCUAUGAUUUGAUUCGGUUGUUUUAUUGUUUUAAGUUUGCACCAAUAAAAGGUCUUAUUUCUUACAAAGGUUUUAAUUAAUUA